GUCGAGCGCAGGAAACUGACGGAACUCUUCGGAGGGAAGGCAGUGGAAUGAGCGGCGGACGGGUGAGUAACACGUAAGGAACCUGCCUCAAGGAUUGGGAUAACUCCGAGAAAUCGGAGCUAAUACCGGAUAGUUCAUCGGACCGCAUGGUCCGUUGAUGAAAGGCGCUUCGGCGUCACCUUGAGAUGGCCUUGCGGUGCAUUAGCUAGUUGGUGGGGUAACGGCCCACCAAGGCGACGAUGCAUAGCCGACCUGAGAGGGUGAUCGGCCACACUGGGACUGAGACACGGCCCAGACUCCUACGGGAGGCAGCAGUAGGGAAUCUUCCACAAUGGACGAAAGUUUGAUGGAGCAACGCCGCGUGAGUGAUGAAGGUUUUCGGAUCGUAAAACUCUGUUGUAAGGGAAGAACACGUACGAGAGGAAAUGCUCGUACCUUGACGGUACCUUACGAGAAAGCCACGGCUAACUACGUGCCAGCAGCCGCGGUAAUACGUAGGUGGCAAGCGUUGUCCGGAAUUAUUGGGCGUAAAGCGCGCGCAGGCGGCCUUUUAAGUCUGAUGUGAAAGCCNCCCGGCUCAAUCGGGGAGGGNUAUUGGAAACUGGAAGGCUUGAGUACAGAAGAGAAGAGUGGAAUUCCACGUGUAGCGGUGAAAUGCGUAGAGAUGUGGAGGAACACCAGUGGCGAAGGCGACUCUUUGGUCUGUAACUGACGCUGAGGCGCGAAAGCGUGGGGAGCAAACAGGAUUAGAUA
rnacentral:rRNA from 1 species